GUGAAAAUAUGGCAGUAAUUAAAGUUCGUGUUUUGAAGCCGAAGUUUAGCGAUUGUCACCUGUUCGUCAACAAAUAACAAAAAAUCAUGGAUAUUGAGCACGUGUUUAAAACAUGUACAAUCAGAUAAUAGUUUAUUUUAAGGACAUCCAUGCGUAUUGCGAUCACCAGAUUUUUACGAGAUGGGUCACACUGAGGUCACUUUGCAUACGGAAAAU
rnacentral:lncRNA from 1 species